GACGAACGCUGGCGGCGUGCCUAAUACAUGCAAGUCGAGCGAUGAAGCUUGGUGCUUGCACUCAUUUGAAGGGCAGCGAACGGGUGAGUAACGCGUGGGGAAUCUGCUAUUGAGCGGGGGACAACAUCUGGAAACGAAUGAUAAUACUGCAUAAUAACUUUUAACAUAAGAUUCAAGUUUGAAAGAUGCAAUUGCAUCACUAAAAGAUGAACCGGCGUUGUAUUAGUUAGUUGGUGAGGUAAAGGCUCACCAAGGCGAUGAUACGUGGCCGGCCUGGGAGGAUGACGAGCCAAAUGGGAAUUGAGAACCGGCCAAGCCUCUACGGGGAGGAACAGGAGGGGAUCAUCGGCAAAUGGGGGAAGGCUGACCGAAGAACGCCGCGGUAGUUGAGGAAGGUCUUCGAGCGGAAAAGUCUUUUUGUAGGGAAGGACGUGGAGGAGGGUAAUAAGCUCAUGUAGUGACGGUAACUACCGAGAAAGCAACGGCUAACUACGUG
rnacentral:rRNA from 1 species